rnacentral:rRNA from 1 species
CCCUUAGAUGUUCUGGGCCGCACGCGUGCUACACUGAACGGUUCAAUGGGUAAGGUAGUGCGGAAGCAUGACCUAAUCUCGAAAUCCGUUCGUGCUGGGGAUAGAAGCUUGCAAUUAUCCUUCUUGAACGAGGAAUACCUUGUAAGCGUGAGUCAUCAUCUCACGCUGAAUACGUCCCUGCCCUUUGUACACACCGCCCGUCGCUCCUACCGAUUGAGUGUUCCGGUGAGGCUUUGGGAGAAUGGCCUCAACAUGAGUUUAUCGUGUUUUGCCGUUUGAACUUAGUCAAACCUUAUCACUUAGAGGAAGGAGAAGUCGUAACA